UACGAAGGGUGCAAACGUUGCUCGGAAUCAUUGGGCGUAAAGCGCACGUAGGCGGCCCCAUAAGUCGGAUGUGAAAUCCCUCGGCUUAACCGGGGAACUGCGUCUGAUACUGGAUGGCUUGAGUUUGGGAGAGGGACGUGGAAUUCCAGGUGUAGCGGUGAAAUGCGUAGAUAUCUGGAGGAACACCGGUGGCGAAGGCGGCGUCCUGGACCAACACUGACACUGAGGAGCGAAAGCCAGGGGAGCAAACGGG
rnacentral:rRNA from 1 species